AGCAGUAGCCACGGUAAUACGAAGGGUGCAAGCGUUACUCGGAAUUACUGGGCGUAAAGCGUGCGUAGGUGGUGGUUUAAGUCCGUUGUGAAAGCCCUGGGCUCAACCUGGGAAUUGCAGUGGAUACUGGGUCACUAGAGUGUGGUAGAGGAUAGUGGAAUUUCCGGUGUAGCAGUGAAAUGCGUAGAGAUCGGAAGGAACAUCUGUGGCGAAGGCGACUAUCUGGGCCAACACUGACACUGAGGCACGAAAGCGUGGGGAGCAAACAGGAUUAGAUACCCCCGUAGUCCCUGUCUCUUAUAC
rnacentral:rRNA from 1 species